UUAAUGUUUCAGAAGCCACCGGCUCCUCACAGUCUCAGGAGACGACACCUGGCCGUAACCAUGGUGGAUUGAUAAUUGUGGCGUGUCUGUUCUGUUCUGUAGUUGUCUGCCUUUCUGUCAAUCUACUGGGAACUUAUUGGAACAGCACAAGGCGCUGAGUGGCAGUGGUCUUUGCACAUACAUGGUCGACAUGUUGAGAAGGCCCGCACCAUCUUAAGAGGGGGGAUGGAUGAGAAAGAGAAUUGGACAUAUAGGAUCAUGCUUCCAGAAAUGAAAGUGCUAUUCGG